CCUACGGGAGGCAGCAGUGGGGAAUUUUGGACAAUGGGCGCAAGCCUGAUCCAGCAAUGCCGCGUGCAGGAUGAAGGCCUUCGGGUUGUAAACUGCUUUUGUACGGAGCGAAACGGUCUGCUUUAAUACAGUAGGCUAAUGACGGUACCGUAAGAAUAAGCACCGGCUAACUACGUGCCAGCAGCCGCGGUAAUACGUAGGGUGCGAGCGUUAAUCGGAAUUACUGGGCGUAAAGCGUGCGCAGGCGGUUAUAUAAGACAGAUGUGAAAUCCCCGGGCUCAACCUGGGACCUGCAUUUGUGACUGUAUAGCUAGAGUACGGUAGAGGGGGAUGGAAUUCCGCGUGUAGCAGUGAAAUGCGUAGAUAUGCGGAGGAACACCGAUGGCGAAGGCAAUCCCCUGGACCUGUACUGACGCUCAUGCACGAAAGCGUGGGGAGCAAACAGGAUUAGAUACCCUGGUAGUCCACGCCCCAAACGAUGUCAACUGGUUGUUGGGUCUUCACUGACUCAGUAACGAAGCUAACGCGUGAAGUUGACCGCCUGGGGUAGGUACGCGCGAGUUAGUUAACGUACGAAGAGUUAGAGGCGNGAGAGNGCCGACGGACGACGACGAGGGAGGAGG
rnacentral:rRNA from 1 species